ensembl:lncRNA
CAGCUUCCAUGGGAACCACUCCAGGAUUCAGGAACACCCAGGGAGUGCUAGAACCUAGCGGAGGCACAUUCCCUCCUGAGCCCUAAAUUAUGAAGGCUCAUGAGGCUCAGUCUGCAGCAGGAGACCGCUAGCAAAGCUAAACCCACAAUCUGCUCCAAAUGGACAGGACCGGCCACAGCUACCUCUCCCCUACAGAAAAUUCCUGAAGAAAUGGGUAGGGAAGACCAAAAAGCAAAUGAGAAAAAGGAAGAAAGAGCAGGAGAAGGUGGGUACAAUGCUGCCCAGCGUGACCUCCAGUCCAGCGACUGCAGACUUCAGUUCCUUCACCACCUUGCUCUCACCAUUAAAGGCAAAGGUAUUUUUGAAUGAUGAUUCUAUUUCCCUUCUUCCUCAAGACCUCGUCUGUGCUUACCAAAGUCUCCUGAAGGGGAGUGGCUUCAUUUAAGGUGUGCAGGGGUCCCCAUUAGACUUGCCACGGGAGGCCAUUUUUUAGUAAGUGCACAACCACCACCAUAUUGUCCUCUUGUCUCCGAAGGGAGGAAUCUGGCAUCACCUCCCAGCUCCGUUCGCACCCUCUCGCUGCUCACAGGCAAAGGCUCACAGGUGCACGUCUAGAGGUCACAGAUAGAAAAAUCCACCUUCUCCGCGACCCUGGGGGCUGCCUGGGUCUGGCUGUAAGAGGCAGAGACUGGCAUAUGUUGGGGCGGGGGAGUGAACGGUACGUUGGAGCAUUUUCGGAACUCUGAGUGCUCUCUUCCCUUAUUGUGCUGCCGGGCGGCCACCCACGAGUACCAGGUGCUGUCAUGGAGACGCUUCCGAAACAGCUGGACCGGCUGCUCGGAAUGCGAGCUGCUGAGAGAGAACGGGACUGUGCACGAGAUGUGGGUGGGGGUUGUUCCAAAGGGAACAGUGAGAACAAGUGAUAAGGACCGCUUUGGGAAUGGCGACGGUUAUGAAUUAAAAAAUAGAGCCUUCCUCUUUGGGUCGAAGGUCAGAGGAGUCUAAUAUGGUUUUUGAUAUGAGAGUGAGAACCAAGGAUUUACCUUGCUAAUAGCACUAAGGUGCCAGUCCAGGCCUCUUCCAUCCUCUAGCAAAUAGGAUGAUUUAUGUACCUGCUGUGUGGUGAUCCCUGUGCUGUGUGCUGUGGACCAUGGCUACUCAAAGGUGAACUAGGCACAUCUGAGGGGCUGUUCAGUGCAAGCUCUCAUCAGACAGAGCCCAGUUAAAUGCCAGCUCCUCCAUUCACUGGCUGUGUGUCUUUUGGUAUGUUACCGAACCUCUUUGUGCCUCAAUUUCUUCAUCUUAGAAAUAAAGCCUUUCUCAUAGGUUGUGGGGAUUCAGUAAGAUAAUACGUUGUAAGGAGCAUAGCAUAGCACAUCAUCAGUGUUUAAAAAUUAGAUGUGACUAAUUUUAGUAAAUUAAUUUUUAAUAAGGUCCAAGGUAAACUCUGGUUAGUGCUCCCCUGGGAGAAAUUCAAAAGAAGGAGAGAGUGUCUGAGUGUGAGAUAAGCAGGUAGGUGUCCCGAACGAGGAGACACAGGCAAGAUCUCCAACACCUGUUCCACUAUAGGGUACUGAUGGGAAAGGUAACCUCGUCAUGAAUUUUCACACUCUUUUCAAUCCAAAGGCUUGGAAGGAUGAGAGAAAUGUCUGCAGACAAAAAUUUCUCAGAGGAAGAGGACAUUUUAAGAGGCAAAAAUAAUGGUUAAUCAUGAUCAAUUAUUAAUUCUCAC